GUUUGGGGCUGUUGGUAAGCUGGCUGUCCGUAUUGAAUCUGUUGAAGGGGUGCAGGGCGAGGUGCUGGCGCAGGCGCGACUGCUCGGAGUGGCGCAGGUCUGGCAGCCGGUUGUUGAUAUUCCUCUUGGUAGUUUUGUGCUUGCAGAGCUUCUUUGCUGGUGGUGUCGUCGACCAGAGUCGGUGGUGCAACCGUGAUACCCUCGCCAGCGGGUUGGAAACCGUAUUGAUUCGCUCCAUAUUCGACUACACGUACUUUGCCGGUGUCAUCGACGAAUCCGUAUUUACCCUUCACCUCUCCGGAUGGCCACUGGGGUUGGUUUUGGGGUUGUGGGGCCAGCCGAUUGCCGAUUUGGCGCCGAAUUAGCGGCAUAACUUCGGGGAGUCGGAUGAGUCGGUCUUGGAGACUCGUAUGCUGAGUAUUCGUCUACGUAGUUGGCAUCUGGUUGCUGGUAUUGCUGAGCCGAUACUACUAGUAUGGCAGCUACCAGUAAUAGUACCUGGAAGAAGUAAAAAGCUGUGUUUGGUCGAAAGCAGUGCGAAGAUGUAAUUGAUUGUAGAAUACUACGUUACGAUAUAAUUCAUUUUUAUUCGAUUAUUUGAUAUUCCGUGGUUUUAUGACAGAAUACGUGCGAUAGAUAUACACAGUGUUAGUAAAUUAUUGUCGUCGUUCUUAAUCGUGCCUUUCUAAUCGUGCCACGCGUAUCUC
rnacentral:misc_RNA from 1 species